CGCAUCACUGGUGUUCGGGUUGUCAUGCCAAUGGCACUGCCCGGUAGCUAAAUGCGGAAGAGAUAAGUGCUGAAAGCAUCUAAGCACGAAACUUGCCCCGAGAUGAGUUCUCCCUGAGACUUUAAGUCUCCUGAAGGAACGUUGAAGACGACGACGUUGAUAGGCCGGGUGUGUAAGCGCAGCGAUGCGUUGAGCUAACCGGUACUAAUGAACCGUGAGGCUUAACCUU
rnacentral:rRNA from 1 species